UACGGGGGGGGCAAGCGUUGUUCGGAAUUACUGGGCGUAAAGGGCUCGUAGGCGGCCAACUAAGUCAUACGUGAAAUCCCUCGGCUUAACUGGGGAACUGCGUCUGAUACUGGUUGGCUUGAGUGCAGGAGAGGAAUGCGGAAUUCCAGGUGUAGCGGUGAAAUGCGUAGAUAUCUGGAGGAACACCGGUGGCGAAGGCGGCAUUCUGGACUGUAACUGACACUGAAAGACGAAAGCCAGGGGAGCAAACGGG
rnacentral:rRNA from 1 species